AGUGAACGCUGGCGGUAGGCCUAACACAUGCAAGUCGAACGGCAGCACAGUAAGAACUUGCUCUUACGGGUGGCGAGUGGCGGACGGGUGAGGAAUACAUCGGAAUCUACUUUUUCGUGGGGGAUAACGUAGGGAAACUUACGCUAAUACCGCAUACGACCUACGGGUGAAAGCAGGGGAUCUUCGGACCUUGCGCGAUUGAAUGAGCCGAUGUCGGAUUAGCUAGUUGGCGGGGUAAAGGCCCACCAAGGCGACGAUCCGUAGCUGGUCUGAGAGGAUGAUCAGCCACACUGGAACUGAGACACGGUCCAGACUCCUACGGGAGGCAGCAGUGGGGAAUAUUGGACAAUGGGCGCAAGCCUGAUCCAGCCAUGCCGCGUGGGUGAAGAAGGCCUUCGGGUUGUAAAGCCCUUUUGUUGGGGAAGAAAAGCAGCAGGUGAAUACCCCGCUGUUCUGACGGUACCCAAAGAAUAAGCACCGGCUAACUUCGUG
rnacentral:rRNA from 1 species